rnacentral:lncRNA from 1 species
GGGUGUAGAGGAGCCGUUGAGGAGGUUUUCUCCCUCAUCCGAUCUUGAACGAUCAAGUCUUCAUUUAUGUCAGGAUGAGGUUCUCCUCCUGUUUCUGACACAGUCAAUUUUAGCUCAUGUUAGGAUGAAGUUUUCCUCCUGUUCCUAACAGGACUGUGGGGGCAUGUAAGGGCCGUUGCAAGGGCCUCUCCUCCCAUCCGGUCUCUAAAUAAUCGGACCUUCGACCUUGCUCAUGUUAGGACGAGGUUCUCUUCAUGUUCCAAACAUGACUGUAGGGGCACGUAAGGGCCAUUGCAAGGGCCUCUCCGCCCAUCCGAUCUCUAAAUAACUGGGCCUUCGACCUUGCUCAUGUUAGGAUGAGGUUCUCCUCCUGUUCCUAACAUGGCUGUGGGGGCGC